rnacentral:rRNA from 1 species
UACGUAGGGGGCAAGCGUUGUCCGGAAUCAUUGGGCGUAAAGAGCGUGUAGGCGGCUUGGUAAGUCCGCUGUGAAAGUCCAGGGCUCAACCCUGGAAAGCCGGUGGAAACUGUCAAGCUCGAGUCCGGAAGAGGCGAGUGGAAUUCCUGGUGUAGCGGUGAAAUGCGCAGAUAUCAGGAGGAACACCAAUGGCGAAGGCAGCUCGCUGGGACGGUACUGACGCUGAGACGCGAAAGCAUGGGGAGCGAACAGG